CUUCCUUAUACGACGGUUCCUAUGGGUAUUUUCUGCAGGAAAAUGAGUCGCUGCAGCUCUGGUGGUGUGAAUCCACCUAUAAAGUC
rnacentral:tRNA from 1 species